rnacentral:rRNA from 1 species
AGCAGCCGCGGUAAUUCCAGCUCCAAUAGCGUAUAUUAAAGUUGUUGCAGUUAAAAAGCUCGUAGUUGAAUUUUAGGCCUGGCCAGGCGGUCCGUCUUUGGCGAGUACUGUUCUGUGUCGGGUCUUACCUUCUGGUGAACCGGUAUGUUCUUUAUUGAGUGUAUCGUGGAGCCAGGACCAUUACCUUGAAAAAAUUAGAGUGUUUAAAGCGGGCAUUUGCUUGAAUAGAUUAGCAUGGAAUAAUAGAAUAGGACGUUGGUUCUAUUUUGUUGGUCUAGGACCACCGUAAUGAUUAAUAGGGAUAGUUGGG